UAGGGANUCUUCGGCAAUGGACGGAAGUCUGACCGAGCAACGCCGCGUGAGUGAAGAAGGUUUUCGGAUCGUAAAGCUCUGUUGUAAGAGAAGAACGAGUGUGAGAGUGGAAAGUUCACACUGUGACGGUAUCUUACCAGAAAGGGACGGCUAACUACGUGCCAGCAGCCGCGGUAAUACGUAGGUCCCGAGCGUUGUCCGGAUUUAUUGGGCGUAAAGCGAGCGCAGGCGGUUAGAUAAGUCUGAAGUUAAAGGCUGUGGCUUAACCAUAGUACGCUUUGGAAACUGUUUAACUUGAGUGCAAGAGGGGAGAGUGGAAUUCCAUGUGUAGCGGUGAAAUGCGUAGAUAUAUGGAGGAACACCGGUGGCGAAAGCGGCUCUCUGGCUUGUAACUGACGCUGAGGCUCGAAAGCGUGGGGAGCAAACAGGAUUAGAUACCCUGGUAGUCCACGCCGUAAACGAUGAGUGCUAGGUGUUAGACCCUUUCCGGGGUUUAGUGCCGUAGCUAACGCAUUAAGCACUCCGCCUGGGGAGUACGACCGCAAGGUUG
rnacentral:rRNA from 1 species